UACGUAGGAGGCGAGCGUUGUCCGGAAUUACUGGGCGUAAAGAGCGCGUAGGCGGCGCGGUACGACCGCUGUGAAAGCCCCAGCUCAACUGGGAGGUCAGCGGUAACGGCCGUGCUUUGAGUGCAGGAGAGGGAAGUGGAACUCCGGGAGUAGCGGUGAAAUGCGUAGAGACCCGGAGGAACACCUGUGGCGAAAGCGGCUCACUGGACCACAACUGACGCUGAGGCGCGAAAGCUAGGGGAGCAAACAGG
rnacentral:rRNA from 1 species